AACUCUGUAAUCAGCUGAUAGUUCCAUGUGAUACUUUUUAAUGACUUUUACACAAUCUUCUUUUGUAUGAAAUGUGUCUCCUUCUUUCAAUGAUCCUUGAAUUUACACAUAAGGAUUGUAAAAUAUAUCUGAUGAAGGUUCAUCGACACCCAAAUUCAAGCUUGACAUGUGUUGAGGUGGACAAUAUACAUGACUAGCUGGUAAUGGCACCUCUUCUUC
rnacentral:lncRNA from 1 species